rnacentral:rRNA from 1 species
GAUGAACGCUAGCGGCAGGCUUAACACAUGCAAGUCGAGGGGUAGAGGUUGCUUGCAACCUUGAGACCGGCGCACGGGUGCGUAACGCGUAUGCAAUCUACCUUUUGCAGAGGGAUAGCCCAGAGAAAUUUGGAUUAAUACCUCAUAGUAUGUGAGAAUGGCAUCCUUUUCACAUUAAAGUUACAACGGCAAAAGAUGAGCAUGCGUCCCAUUAGCUAGUUGGGAAGGUAACGGCUUACCAAGGCUACGAUGGGUAGGGGUCCUGAGAGGGAGAUCCCCCACACUGGUACGGAGACACGGACCAGACUCCUACGGGAGGCAGCAGUGAGGAAUAUUGGACAAUGGGCGCAAGCCUGAUCCAGCCAUGCCGCGUGCAGGAUGACGGUCCUAUGGAUUGUAAACUGCUUUUGUACGGGAAGAAACCCUCCUACGUGUAGGAGCUUGACGGUACCGUAAGAAUAAGGAUCGGCUAACUCCGUGCCAGCCGCCGCCGUAAUAC